rnacentral:tRNA from 1 species
GAGGAUGUAGCUCAAAUUGUAGAGCACUUGCUUAGCAUGCAUGAGGUCCAGGGUUCAAUCCCCAGCACCUCCU